UACGUAGGUGGCAAGCGUUGUCCGGAUUUACUGGGCGUAAAGGGCGUGCAGGCGGUUUGUUAAGUGCAGGGUGAAAGCUCCCGGCUCAACUGGGAGAGGUCCUUGCAUACUGGCGAACUCGAGGGAGGCAGAGGAAAGUGGAAUUCCCGGUGUAGUGGUGAUAUGCGUAGAUAUCGGGAGGAACACCUGUGGCGAAGGCGCUUUCUGGGCCUUACCUGACGCUGAGACGCGAAAGCGUGGGGAGCGAACCGG
rnacentral:rRNA from 1 species